UACGGGGGGGGCAAGCGUUGUUCGGAAUUACUGGGCGUAAAGGGCUCGUAGGCGGCCAACUAAGUCAGACGUGAAAUCCCUCGGCUUAACCGGGGAACUGCGUCUGAUACUGGAUGGCUUGAGUUUGGGAGAGGGAUGCGGAAUUCCAGGUGUAGCGGUGAAAUGCGUAGAUAUCUGGAGGAACACCGGUGGCGAAGGCGGCAUCCUGGACCAACACUGACGCUGAGUGAGCGAAAGCCAGGGGAGC
rnacentral:rRNA from 1 species